GACGAACGCUGGCGGCGUGCUUAACACAUGCAAGUCGAACGGAAAGGCCCUGCUUUUGUGGGGUGCUCGAGUGGCGAACGGGUGAGUAACACGUGAGUAACCUGCCCUUGACUUUGGGAUAACUUCAGGAAACUGGGGCUAAUACCGGAUAGGAGCUCCUGCUGCAUGGUGGGGGUUGGAAAGUUUCGGCGGUUGGGGCUGUACUCGCGGCUUAUCAGCUUGUUGGUGGGGUAGUGGCUUACCAAGGCUUUGACGGGUAGCCGGCCUGAGAGGGUGACCGGCCACAAGGGUACUGAGGUACGGCGCAGACUCCUACGGGAGGCAGCAGGGGGGAAUAUUGCACAAUGGGCGGAAGCCUGAUGCAGCAACGCCGCGUGCGGGAUGACGGCCUUCGGGUUGUAAACCGCUUUCGCCUGUGACGAAGCGUGAGUGACGGUAAUGGGUAAAGAAGCACCGGCUAACUACGUG
rnacentral:rRNA from 1 species